CUCUCUCUUUCUCUACCUUUCUCCCCAAAACCCAACUCUGAAUUUAAAUCCCAAACGCCAUCGGUCUUUAUCUCUCACCUUUCUCUGAAUCUAACCAGGGUUGUUGACAUCGCCACCGUUGAAGGCGAAAGUGGCCUCCACAAUCGCCUCCUAGCUCGUCCAUUAGUCCGACCCAGCUGACUGAACCGUCCUUCAGAAAACCAGAUCGUUGCUUUGUGUUUCAGGUAAUGAUGAUGAUGCCAAUUACUCAGUCCCAAUGCCAACUGAAUCCUAGCAGAGGUGUGGUUGCCUUUUUGGUUGUCACCGUUGGCAUCACAAGAUGGAUACAAGAAGAGAGAAGUUUUGAUGCUAAGGUUGACAGUCAUAAGUGGAGAGAUUCCUAAUCCAAUUAAGUUUCCAAUAUAUAUUCUCUUUGGAUCUGCUGAUUUUUCAUACUUUACAUUGUUUUUGGGCAGUACUGGUAACUGGCUUACAUCAGUGGUAUUUCAAAUGAAUGUGACAAUAAGAUGAUGAUUCUACAAAGUUUCAAAAAGUUGAUGUUGAAAGCAAUGUACAACUCACACCAACAUCUGUAAUCAAGGAAAAUAAAAGGAGUUAUUCAGUGGCUACUGUGAAGCAACAAAGGAAGAAAAUACAAUUAAUACUUUAAAGUUGGCUUUCAAUUUAUUUCAAAUAUUAAUUAAGUAGUUCUUUAAAUUUGUGUUUCAUAUAUUUAUUGGAUAAUUAAGGAUG